rnacentral:sRNA from 1 species
AUAAACCGAAUAAUCAGUGAUGCAGUAUCCUAGUCGGGAAACCUUCUAUCGAAGGCGGGGCUAAAAAUCCGCCAAGGGCACAUCGAUGAAGUUCCUGGUGCUGGCUUUCGACGCCAUCGGGGGCCGGUACUGGGAGUUAAGGACUCAGGGCUAAAUGCAAAGGCAUGUAUUGACAAAUUAUAUGACGGGCUAAAAUACCCGGCCCAUGUAAUGACCCUGUUUCCGUGGAGACCCGUGCCGCAGGCAGUAGGCUUGCGCCCGGGGUGUGAACCUGCAUGUGGCAGCAACUGCGUGCAGUGUAGCCUGCCUUGAGGUGGAUGUGGGGAAUGGAAUAGUAUUUUUCUGAAACCACCGCUGCAAAAGAGGCUAGAGGAAGGGUUACCGUCAAGGAAAACUUCUAGGCUGUCCGUUUAUGGAAACGGAACAGGCCGGGGAUUAAAGUGCGGACUUAGUGGCAAUCCGGUACCGGAUAUCAUUCCGGAGGGGUUUUAAAGGGAAACCGCCCGCGCGGUAACGGCGGGUAACCGGCUGGGAAAACCAACCGGACCUAUGCCGCAAUAUUUACCCGGCAAGUUAUCACUGUAAGUAAAAGCGAC